rnacentral:rRNA from 1 species
GCGGCGUGCUUAACACAUGCAAGUCGAACGAACCUUCGGGUUAGUGGCGGACGGGUGAGUAACGCGUGGGAAUCUGCCCUCAGGAGGGGGAUAACGGCCGGAAACGGCCGCUAAUACCCCAUAUGCCGAGAGGUGAAAUGAAUUUCGCCUGAGGAUGAGCCCGCGUCUGAUUAGCUAGUUGGUGAGGUAAGAGCUCACCAAGGCAUCGAUCAGUAGCUGGUCUGAGAGGAUGAUCAGCCACACUGGGACUGAGACACGGCCCAGACUCCUACGGGAGGCAGCAGUGGGGAAUUUUCCGCAAUGGGCGAAAGCCUGACGGAGCAACGCCGCGUGAGGGAUGAAGGCCUCUGGGCUGUAAACCUCUUUUAUCAAGGAAGAAGAUCUGACGGUACUUGAUGAAUAAGCCACGGCUAAUUCCG